rnacentral:rRNA from 1 species
AACAAACGCUGGCGGCGUGCCUAAUACAUGCAAGUCGAACGGGGAAAGUUCUUCGGAAUGAGUACUAGUGGCGUACGGGUGAGCAACACGUGGAUAAUCUUCCUUCAGGUGGGGAAUAACGAGUCGAAAGAUUCGCUAAUACCGCAUAAGACCACAGUAACUUUGGUUACAGGGGUUAAAGACUUCGGUCGCCUUUAGAUGAGUCUGCGUCCGAUUAGCUAGUUGGUGAGGUAAUGGCUCACCAAGGCGACGAUCGGUAACUGGUCUGAGAGGACGGCCAGUCACACUGGGACUGAGACACGGCCCAGACUCCUACGGGAGGCAGCAGUAGGGAAUUUUGCACAAUGGAGGAAACUCUGAUGCAGCGACGCCGCGUGAGUGAUGAAGGCCUUCGGGUCGUAAAGCUCUGUUCUCAGGGAAGUAAAAAAUAGAAGGUACCUGAGGAGAAAGGACCGGCUAACUUCGUGCCAGCAGCCGCGGUAAU